rnacentral:SRP_RNA from 16 species
CCCACGGGUGCAAGGGGAGCACGGGCCAUCCUCAAGGACAGGCAGCGCCUUGCCAUAGAGAAGAAAAAGCGGCAGGCCCGGAAGGCGAGCAA